CUGAGAUGCACUGCGGCCCGACCUCACUCCUCAAGCCUGCAUCCCAUGACUCUGCCCAACAUUUUACUCUUUGAAAAUGCCCUAGGCAUAGCCUGGCUCAGGAUUCCUGUCCCUAAGCACAGAAGUCCAAACUGAUGCUCCCUGCAGGUCUGUGCAGCUGGAAGGAAGGGGAUCAGCAGAGGCCUGGGGGGCAGCUACCUUCCACCACAAUGGAAGAGGAUUCUCCACUGCUGUACUAGGUCCUUUCUGAUUUGACAAGAUCCAGCUGCUAAACUCGGAAAAGGAAGACUGCUGUCUCUGCAUGGAGGGAGCACAGGAACUGACAUGGAUGCUAGGGCUGGGAUCUGGCCCGUUCUGCCUUGUACUUGAAGUAUGACCUUGACCAGUCCAUUUUCCUCUCUGUGCCAGUCCAGCACUUCAUCUCCACAAGAAGGGGAUAAGACUGGUCAAGCUCCUUGAUCUCUUCCAGCUCUGACAGUUCAACUCAAUUCUUCCUAUAAUAUCCAUGAUGUUCUAUGACCUUCCAUGACAUUCUAUACAUCUCCAAAAAUCAUCAAUUUGAAUGGCAGACCUCCUGUUCUAGUCCCUGUUCUAUUCUAUGUAAAUGGCAGAGAGAAAAGAGCUGCCACAAGCUGGCUCAUUGUAGGACUUUGUUGGGCAAGUACAUUUUCCUUCCUUGCCUCAGUUUCCCCCAUUUGAUUGGCUGGGCUAUACUAUUUCCCUGGAGCUGUGGUUUCUUGCUUUGCAAAGUCCUGCUUCUCAACUGUUGCACCUGAUUUGGACGUGUCUUUUUUCCAGAGCCUCCUCUGUAGGCUUCCUCACUGCCUCGUGCCUCUGGUUGCUUCCCACCUAUUGACAUUCCUCCCAGAACCCUGAUUUACUGAAGUAGACCCAACAUUACAACUUGGGGAAGACAGUUUCCAAAUCAGGAGCCCAGGGAAACACGGGUGCUGGACAGUGCCAGGAAGAGAGCAGGUGGGCAAGCAGUCGAGUGGCGGGCCUGAAAUAACCCUGAGGUGAGGGGCGCUGGUGCACGCCCUUGUGACAGGAGCUAGUCCUCUGUGUUCUCUGCUCAGCUGCCAAAUAGUCAGUCACACCAGUCAGCUUUGGGACUAACAGAUAAUGAACAUUGGGUUGGGCCCAGAAGCAAUAGGGCUUCAGGGGAAAUAAAAUGGACUUUGCCAUGCUGA